AAGACUAUACUUUCAGGGAUCAUUUCUAUAGUAUGUUACUAGAGAAGUUUCUCUGAUCGUGUAGAGUACCGGAAACCACGAGGAGGAGCUGAGUGGUCUCUCCUGAGCGUGAAGCAGGCUCUGGGUGUUGCUUUUUUCGUAACUGCCCUUUGCCAUUGAUGAUCGUUCUUAAUCCUCCUUGGAGAUUAAGAGGGAGAGAACACUGUCUGAGUGGUU
ensembl:snoRNA